rnacentral:lncRNA from 1 species
AAAGAUUUUUGCUUAUCAGCUAAUAAAUCCCACUAAAAGUUGAAACCUAGCGUUUUUGUUGUUUGUUCCUCUUUCAAAUCUUUGGCGAAAACGUUUUCUUUUGUGUUUGUUCUAUUAUCUCGAACAUUCCAACUACGCUACCACCGCCCAGGCAAGCUUCAAUUUCUUGUUUUAUUAUCUUUUUUUUUUUUUUUUAUAUUUUCGGUUAUUCGAAUUUUAUAUACCAAUAUACUUUUAUUUGUGAUUCUGUUGAUUUUCAUUGACCCAUUCUGAUUGAGCUUAGGGAAUAAUUACAAGUAAUUAAUGCAAUUUUAGCUCAUAAUCACAUCUCUAGGAUUGGGAAAUUCAGUUAGCCUGUUGUAGAUAAACAUUUUAGCUGUUCUCAUUGUAUUGUAUUUUUCAUGGUUAUCAGAUUUGCAUCUUUUAGAUCAAAAGUGUUUGUAUCUGAAGACUAUAUUUGUAAUUUUAUCUAGAAUUUUGGACUCAUGGCUAAAUGAAAGUUAAGAACACCCUAAUACCAAAAUAUUUUACUAUAUUAGUUUGUAUAAUAAGUUAUAAUCAUGCAUAUUAAUUUAUUAUAGAUGAUCAUAUGAACUUAUAUAUUAUAAGUUGGGUUGCCAAAUAGAGUCUCAAUCCCUCAAUUUUUUUUUUUUAGUUUCUAAAUUUGUGCCAUUUUUAAACUAACAUUUUUUUUUUGUCUCUAAGAUAAUCUAAUUUAGUUUGGGGAGGAUUCUCUUCAUUGGAAGAAAAAUAUUAGGAAAUAUUAUAUUUAAACUCAUUCCUCCAUUUCAUCUAAUCAUAGAUCAAUUGUCAUAAUUCAUAACACGGAAAUUUCAUUUAGUUUGUAAUAAUAUUUUAUGUUUUUCAUUUUUUUUUUAAUGAAAGACUCUUGAAUAUAAUUAUUGUCAUGCAAGGAAAAUAAAAUGUAGUUAACAAAUAUGUAUUUCAAAAAUAAAGAUUUUUUUAUAUUUUUAUUAUUUUUAAAAUUUAGAUAAUUGUUCACUUCAAAUAUAUCUUAAAUUUUUAUUAAGAAAAGAAAAAGUAACAUAAAUUAAAAAAAUAAAAAUAAAAAUAGAAAAUGUUUUUACAAAAUAAACGAACCUUGAUUUUUUAAUCGAUUCUAGUUCUUUCUUUUCCUUACUUUUUUUACUGUUCCACAAAAAAUAAAAAUUCUUUAUGUUCACAAGAAUCUCACAUCACACUAAAUUACAUAUAAAAUUUAUAUAGUAAAUUUUGUUAGAUAAUAUUAUUAUAUAUUAGUAGUAAGGGUAUUUUAGACAAUUCUAUUCUUUUAUAUAUAUAUAUACUAAUUGUAACCCUAUUAACUUCAGUUUGGUUCAUUCUAUAUUCUAUGUUAUGAAACCCUAGAGUGGUUGUUUCUCUUCUUCCUCUUUUCAUUGUUAACAUGGUAUCAAAGAGUUUUGGUUGAUUUUGUGAUCUACUAUAAAGAAGAGAGAGUUACAAUCACAUGCCAUGUCUGCCACCUCUUCUAAAGGUUUGAACUCCUCUAGUAUGUUAGAUAUAUCUCCUUCCAUAUGGAUUCUUGAUUCGAGAGCAUCUCAUCAUAUGACAUACGAUGAUAAAUCUUUUGUGUAUGUGAAACCUGUCUCGUCUGUGUCGGUUAUGACUGCUGAUGGCACUCUUAUGCCACUAGCAGGCGUUGGUUCUGUUAGUCAAAUAUGUGAUCUCGGUUAUUCGGUUAUGUUUUCUUCCACUUCUUGUUGUGUGCAGGAUCCACAUUUCGGGAGGCUGAUUGGGACAGGUCAUAGACAAGGGGGACUUUAUGUUUUGGAUGACCUGCGACUCCCAGAUACUGCAGCCUCCACAACUACUGCUGACUUAUUAUCUAGUUUUCGCUUGAAUUCCUUAUCUUCUAGUUUUUAUCUAUGGCAUUCUCGCCUUGGACAUGUUUCUGCUUCUAGAUUAAAAUAUUUGGCUUCUACUGGAGCCUUAGGAAAGUUAAAACCCUGUGAUAUCUCAGAUUGUUGUGGUUGUAAACUUGCUAAAUUUCCAGCUUUACCGUUUAGUAAAAGUGUUUCCGUUUCAUAUGCGCCUUUUGAUUUAGUUCACUCUGAUGUUUGGGGUCCAUCACCGGUGCUCACCAAAGGUGGAUCUAGAUAUUAUGUUUCGUUUAUUGAUGAUUACACUCGUUAUUGUUGGGUUUAUCUUAUGAAAAAUCGGUCUGAAUUUUUUGACAUUUAUCAUAUAUUUCGUGCAAUGGUCAAAACUCAACAUAAUUCUGUUAUAAAGUGUUUUCGUUGUGAUUUAGGUGGUGAAUAUACCUCUAAUAAAUUUUCUGAAUUACUUGCUUAUGAUGGCACUCGCCACCAAACAUCUUGUACUGAUACUCCUCAACAAAAUGGAGUUGCUGAAAGGAAACAUCGUCACAUUAUAGAGACUGCUCGUUCCCUUUUGUUGUCCGCUUCAGUUCCUAGUGAGUUUUGGGGAGAAGCAGUUCUUACUGCUGUUCAUGCUAUUAAUAGAAUUCCAUCCUCUAUCAUAUCAGGUUUGUCUCCCUUUGAAAAAUUGUAUGCUUCUACCCCUGAUUACUAUUCUUUGAAAGUUUUUGGUUCUACUUGUUUUGUUCUUCGCCCUCAAGUAGAGCGCAGUAAGUUGUCUUCUCGUUCAGCGUUGUGUGUUUUUCUUGGUUAUGGAGAUGGUCAAAAAGGUUAUCGUUGUUAUGAUCCUCAUGUAGGAAAACUUUAUAUAUCUCGUAAUGUUGUUUUUCUUAAGAACAUCCCUUUUUACUCUAUUUCCUCUGAUUCUCAGAUUACUAAGAGUUCUGAACUAACCGAUAUUGAUCCGUUUGGUCUUAGUGAUUAUGUUUCUGGUGAUUGUAAUGUUGAGAAUUGCGGGACAAAUACUAAUACUCCACAUGAUGACACAACCACCUCCUGCGAUUGUUGAUCCUCCUCGUUACCCCUCUCGUCAACGUAAGUCUACUCAGUUACCUGAUUUUGUCUAUUCCACUUACUCAACUUCGUUUGUUUCUUUUUUAACCUCUAUUCACAAUUUUUCUGAGCCCUCUUCCUAUAAAGAGGCUGUUCUUGAUCCUCUUUGGCAGCAGGCAAUGACAGAAGAACUUUUUACAUUGCACAAAACCAAUACUUGGGAAUUAGUACCUCUUCCUCCUAGAAAACAUGCUAUUGGAUCUCGUUGAGUAUACAAGAUCAAAACUAAGUCUGAUGGGCCAGUUGAGCGCUACAAAGCACGUCUUGUUGCUAAGGGUUUCUCUCAACAAUAUGGUAUGGAUUAUGAAGAAACUUUUGCUCAUGUAGCCAAGAUGACCACUAUUCGUACUCUUAUUGCAGUUGCAUCUAUUCGUCAAUGGCAUAUUUCUCAAAUAGAUGUCAAAAAUGCUUUUUUAAAUGGUGAGCUUCAUGAAGAAGUCUAUAUGGUCCCUCCGCAAGGAGUUUCUCAUAAUCAAGGGGGGGUAUGUAAGUUAAAAAAGGCUCUAUAUGGUCUUAAACAGGCUCCUCGAGCUUGGUUUGAGAAAUUCUCUACUGUGAUCACUUCUCUUGGUUUUCGCUCUAGUGAACAUGAUUCUGCAUUGUUUAUAAGGUCCACCACUUAUGGUCGCAUUAUACUUUCUCUAUAUGUUGAUGAUAUGAUUAUUACAGGUGAUGAUGUUAGUGGAAUCAAUGAGUUAAAAUUGCAGUUAGCCAAACAGUUUGAGAUGAAGGACUUGGGAACUCUUUGUUAUUUCUUGGGGAUUGAAGUUGCCUACUCUACUAGAGGCUACCUUCUUUCUCAAUCCAAGUACAUUACCAACAUUCUUGAUCAGCCUCGUCUUUCUAAUACUAGAGCAGCAGAUACUCCUCUUGAGUUGAAUGUGAAAUAUGCUCUCUCGGAUGGUGUUCCUUUACUAGAUUCCACUUUGUAUCGUACUUUGGUUGGCAUUUUAGUGUAUCUUACGAUUACCAGACCUGACAUUGCUUAUGUUGUUCAUGUUGUUAGUCAGUUUGUUGUCUCUCCUACUACAGUACAUUGGGCAACAGUUAUUUGGAUUCUUCGUUAUCUUCGAGGAACUCAAUUUCAAAGUCUUCUCUUUCCAUCGUCAUCCUCAUUAGAGUUACGAGCUUAUUCUGAUGCUGAUUGGGCUGGUGACACCACAUAUCGUAAAUCCACCACAGGGUUCUGUAUAUUUCUUGGAGACUCUCUUAUUUCUUGGAAGAGUAAGAAACAAGACAUUGUCUCUCGCUUCUCUACAGAAGCUGAGUAUCAUGUUAUGGCAUCCACUACCGCUAAAAUAAUUUGGUUGCGUUGGCUUUUGUCUGAUGUGGGUAUCUCUCUUUCUGAGCCAACUCCGAUGCACUGCGAUAACAAGAGUGCUAUUCAAAUUGCUCACAACUCGGUCUUUCACGAACGCACCAAACACAUUGAGAUUGAUUGUCAUUUUACUCGUCAUCAUCUUUAGCAUGGAACUAUUACUCUACUGUUUGUUUCUUCUUCUUUACAAAUUGCUGAUUUGUUUACAAAGAUGCAUUCCAUUAAACGUUUCCGUUUUUUAGUUGACAAACUCUCGAUGCUCUAUGUUAAUGCAUCGUGAGUUUGAGGGGAGAUGUUAGAUAAUAUUAUUAUAUAUUAGUAGUAAGGGUAUUUUAGACAAUUCUAUUCUUUUAUAUAUAUACUCAUUGUAACCCUAUUAACUUCAGUUUGGUUCAUUCUAUGUUAUGAAACCCUAGAGUAGUUGUUUCUCUUCUUUCUCUUUUCAUUGUUAACAAAUUUAUUUAACAUGUUUUAAAGUUGAAGUCAAAUCUCUAAAAAAUAGGUAUGAGUUUAACGUAUCAAAUAAGUUCAUAAUAAUGUAACAUUUAUAUGAGUCAAUAUCUCUUCUUUCUUAAUUUGCUAGCUACUCACAUUUGUUUAUUCGUAAAAAAUUUAUAAGGGGUAAUAAAUUGACUCUCCACGAAUUCAUGUGCUCUUUGCUUGCUUGGAAGCCAAUUGUGACGUGUAUUUUAUGUUCUUGUGUUGAUGAACUAAAGUAUAAUAAUACAAGGGCUUUUACAAAUUGUUCAUCUUUAUCCAGAUCGCUCGAUUGCAUUGAGGUGCUCUGGCGCAAUAAGUUCUUUUUGAAGUUCUGUGUCGUCCUUGAAAACUGUUAAACCGUUUUUUCUCCUCUGAAACUCAAGAACAGAUGAAAUUUUCCACGAUGGAGGAUCAUAAGACACUGCCAUUUAGAUAGGAAGAAUCAAAAUUCAUAACACUUUAGGUCUUGUUUGAUUCACAUCCAAAAAACUCUAUUUUAGUAUUUUAAAAUUUAAAAACAAAAAAACUUGUUUGGGUUACUUAUUUUAAAAAAAUAUCUUGUAAAACUAUUUUUAAUAUUAUACUUUUUAAAACUAAAAAAGCAAAAUAGAUAAAAGGUGUUUUACUUUUCACUUUUCAGUUUUUUUAAUUCUUUCGUAAAAAAUUAUUUAAAAAAAUUAGAGUUGCCAAACAAAUAUUUUUUUUUUAAUUUUUUUUAAAAAAAAUAGUUUUUGAAAAUUUAUUUAUAAAAUAGUUUUCAAAAAUUAAAAAAUAAAAUACAAUCAAAUAAACUAUUAUUCUAUGUUAUUUUCUCAUUUGCUAUGAUAUCUCUCUCGUUUUCUUUCCAAAUAUUAUCUGCUAUAUAUGUUACAUGACAAUUAUGGAAAUAGUUGAAAAUAUCAACACUUACGAAGAAAAUCAAUGUUAGGCCCAAUCCACAUCAGAGUGCUAGUCCCACAUUGUUAACACAUAACAAAACUCAAGUAUUGAUAUAACCAUCGCAAGGAGCAAGAGUCACGACCUUACUUGAACAUGAUUUGUUCUAUAGGAUCGUACUACUCUGUCCAUCUAUUCUAAGGAGGCAGGACCAUCAUAUAUGUUGGUAUGGGUAUUUUCACAUUUGGUUGUUGGUUGUCAUUAAAGUGUUUUGGAUUCUGUUAUGCAUUUGGUUUUGUAAAACCCUAAGAGGGUUUAGUUUAAUUGAUGUUAAUAAGAAUCUAGAUGAGUUUAUGGAGAUAUUUUGAACAACUGUAAUUUUAAGAAUUUGCUUUUAGUCCAACUUAGCAUUUUCUGUUUGGGGAAGAAUUUGCGUGAGCAUUUUGGGAGGAGUAGGAUCAGAAUUACCCUGAUGAGGUCAAAACUUUCGAAGUCGGUCUGGUUUCACUACUGUAACUGUUACUUAUUUGGUCCAUUUCUUUAAAAAAAUGUAACCAGUCAAACAAUAAAAGAAGGAACUAUUUUUGUUCCCAUAGUUUGUUUGUUUGUUUGUAGUUUUUCAUCAACACAAACCUUGGCUUUAUUGCAUCUAUGAUUUAUGUAAGGGGUAAAGUUGAUAAUUGAAUGACUUGUGUUGAUCUUAAAGUUGAGUAUUGAAUGACUUGAUAUAUUUCUGAUGCAUUUGAUUAUUCUAUAAUUGGUAGCAUGGAACUAUCAAUAUUUUUCUCUCUUUUUGAUGCUUUAUUUUUUUAUAUGUCUGUAUAGUGAUUAUUGAAGUUCAACACUGUUGUCAUUCAUGUAGCUCUUGUUUAUAUAAAAUGUCUUUAUUAUAAGUAUCAUUUUAUGUGUAUGUGGAAGUUUAUAUUUUAAUGAGCAUGAAGUGUUAGAGAAUAGUGGAGAUUUUCUAAGUUGGUAAACUUCCUCCAAUUGAAGAAUUUGCAAAUGGUAUUCCUUUUGAUGAGUUUAGUUGAAAAUGUCAUACCUGGAGUUAGUUUCAAGAAAUUAACUUGCAAUGGUUAGUCAAUGUAACCUUCUUUUGAUUUUGUUUACAAGAUUUUAUAUAAAGCUUAUGCUUUAGUUCCGGUGUUAUCAAUUGCUGAUCGCAGAGAAUAACGAUUUGUUCAAAUUCCAUUAUAACAGUGCUAUAGCCGCUAUUUGACAAUAUCUUGUACUAAACAGCAUAUCGCAGAACAAUAGCAUUUUGUUCAAAUUCCGCUACACUAUAGUGCUGGUAUUCAACAAAAUUGUUUAGUUCUAAUUGUAAUUUAUUUGUUUUUCUAGCUUAUAAUGAAGUUAAUUAGAUACCUUCAUGAUAAGAAUUCUCAGUAAACAGUGUUAGUGGAAAGAGUAUAGUGAAAACUUACUUGGUUGCCUUGUUUCCAAGUGCUCCAAUGUUUUCAGAGUUAUUUGAAUUUUUCGCAUCAACUCCAAGAUUAUGUUUCUUAAAGAAGUCUUAUGUGCAUUUCAAUUACUUUAAGCUGCAGCUAUGUAUAUGAAAUUUUAAGUCUUUUCAAAAUGUUCCUACUCAUGUCAUAUGUUGUCUUUUUGCAUAUAUCUUUAGGUGCUCACAAUAAAUAACUGUAAUUUACUCCUUCAAAUAAGGUUUCUUAAUUAAUUGUUAAUUAAUAUGCUGCAGGGCUUUGGUCAUGUAUUGUUUCUAGAGCUACGAAAGAGACUUCAAAAUGUUGGCAUUCGCUCUAUUUUAUGUUGGGGAGACAAAAUCUGAAG